CCUGUUCUGUUUAAUUACAGUUUGAAAAUGAGAUAAUCACAAAACUGGAUCAUGAAGUGGAAGGCGGAAGAGGAGAUGAACAAUAUAAAGUGUUAUUUGACAAAAUCCUUCUAGAACACUGCAGAAAACAUAAAUACCUUGCCAAAAACGGUGAAACCUUUGUUAAACUUGUGGUGCGGCUGAUGGAGAGACUUCUAGAUUACAGAACUAUUAUGCACGAUGAAAACAAGGAAAACCGGAUGAGCUGCACAGUCAAUGUUCUGAAUUUCUACAAAGAGAUUGAAAGAGAAGAAAUGUACAUAAGGUAUUUGUACAAACUUUGUGACCUGCACAAAGAAUGCGAUAACUACACUGAAGCCGCCUACACAUUACUUCUCCAUGCAAAGCUU